GUCAUGAAAUCUCCGAAUCUAAGGAUGAGUGGGGGAACCAGUUUUCUGGGGUGAAUCGAAAGAGGGGCAACUUGGAUGUCCUAACCCGUCAGCUAACCUCAUAGGAGUUAACCAAGCGUGUA
rnacentral:sRNA from 2 species